CAGCAGCCGCGGGAAUACGUAGGGUGCGAGCGUUAAUCGGAAUUACUGGGCGUAAAGCGUGCGCAGGCGGUUCGUUAAGACAGAUGUGAAAGCCCUGGGCUCAACCUGGGAAUUGCUUUUGAUACUGUGUUGCUUGAGUUCGGGAGAGGUGAGUGGAAUUCCCAGUGUAGAGGUGAAAUUCGUAGAUAUUGGGAAGAACACCGGUGGCGAAGGCGGCUCACUGGACCGACACUGACGCUGAGGCGCGAAAGCGUGGGGAGCAAACAGGAUUAGAUACCCCAGUAGUCCCUGUCUCUUAUAC
rnacentral:rRNA from 1 species